GAUUUCUGGCUUGAAACAUUUGGCCGGCCACGGUUUCGUGUGUUAGUGCUUUGUGUUCUGGCCAUCCUUCCAAUCGCUAUUCACCUUUCUUCAUUGAUUGGUGAGUGGUAUUGGAUCUUUUACUUUGAAAAAAUUAGAGUGUUUCAAGCAGGCUUUAUGCUAUGAAUACAUUAGCAUGGAAUAAUAAUUUAGGACCUCGGUUCUAUUUUGUUGGUGUUCUGGAGCUGAAGUAAUGAUUGAUAGGGAUAGUUGGGGGUGCUAGUAUUCAGCGGCCAGAGGUGAAAUUCUCGGAUUCGCUGAAGACUAACUUAUGCGAAAGCAUU
rnacentral:rRNA from 1 species